GAUGAACGCUGGCGGCGUGCCUAAUACAUGCAAGUCGAGCGGACGGACGAGAAGCUUGCUUUUCUGAUGUUAGCGGCGGACGGGUGAGUAACACGUGGAUAACCUACCUAUAAGACUGGGAUAACUUCGGGAAACCGGAGCUAAUACCGGAUAAUAUUUUGAACCGCAUGGUUCAAAAGUGAAAGACGGUCUUGCUGUCACUUAUAGAUGGAUCCGCGCUGCAUUAGCUAGUUGGUAAGGUAACGGCUUACCAAGGCAACGAUGCAUAGCCGACCUGAGAGGGUGCUCGGCCACACUGGAACUGAGACACGGUCCAGACUCCUACGGGACGCAGCAGUAGGGAAUCUUCCGCAAUGGGCGAAAGCCUGACGGAGCCACGCCGCGUGAGUGAUGAAGGUCUUCGGAUCGUAAAACUCUGUUAUUAGGGAAGAACAUAUGUGUAAGUAACUGUGCACAUCUUGACGGUACCUAAUCAGAAAGCCACGGCUAACUCCGUG
rnacentral:rRNA from 1 species